rnacentral:rRNA from 1 species
CCUACGGGAGGCAGCAGUGAGGAAUAUUGGUCAAUGGGCGUGAGCCUGAACCAGCCAAGUAGCGUGCAGGAAGACGGCCCUAUGGGUUGUAAACUGCUUUUAUGCGGGGAUAAACGUCGCUACGUGUAGCGAUUUGCAGGUACCGCAUGAAUAAGGACCGGCUGAUUCCGUGCCAGCAGCCGCGGUAAU